rnacentral:rRNA from 1 species
UGGGGAAUAUUGCACAAUGGGCGCAAGCCUGAUGCAGCCAUGCCGCGUGUAUGAAGAAGGCCUUCGGGUUGUAAAGUACUUUCAGCGGGGAGGAAGGGAGUAAAGUUAAUACCUUUGCUCAUUGACGUUACCCGCAGAAGAAGCACCGGCUAACUCCGUGCCAGCAGCCGCGGUAAUACGGAGGGUGCAAGCGUUAAUCGGAAUUACUGGGCGUAAAGCGCACGCAGGCGGUUUGUUAAGUCAGAUGUGAAAUCCCCGGGCUCAACCUGGGAACUGCAUCUGAUACUGGCAAGCUUGAGUCUCGUAGAGGGGGGUGGAAUUCCAGGUGUAGCGGUGAGAUGCGUAGAGAUCUGGAGGAAUACCGGUGGCGAAGGCGGCCCCCUGGACGAAGACUGACGCUCAGGUGCGAAAGCGUGGGGAGCAAACAGG